rnacentral:piRNA from 1 species
UGGCAAAGAAGUACAGAGAACUAGUUUGG